rnacentral:rRNA from 1 species
GACGAACGUUGGCGGCGUGCUUAAUACAUGCAAGUCAACUGAAGCAGUGGUAGCAAUAUCGCUGUGGAGGUGGCGCACGGGUGAGUAACACGUAGGUAAUCUGCCUUCAGGUCUGGCAUAACUCCGGGAAACCGGGGCUAAUAGCAGAUGAUGCAGCGGCUCGACAUCGAGACAGUUGUUAAAGCUAUGGCGCCUGAAGAUGAGCCUGCGUCUGAUUAGCUAGUUGGCGGGGUAACGGCCCUCCAAGGCAACGAUCAGUAGCUGGUCUGAGAGGAUGAUCAGCCACACUGGAACUGAGACACGGUCCAGACUCCUACGGGAGGCAGCAGUAAGGAAUAUUGCUCAAUGGGAGAAAUCCUGAAGCAGCAACGCCGCGUGAGGGACGAAGGGCUUUUGCUUGUAAACCUCUGUAGUGAGAGAAAAAAAUCCCAAUCUUUGGGACAUGAUGGUAUCUCAAAAGUAAGCCCCGGCUAACUACGUG